UCUUUUCUCUCAAGUAAUAAGCAACAGGACAGGAGGAAAUGGCCUCAAGUUGUGCCAGAGUUUCAGACGGGAUAUUAGGAAAAAAUUCUUCAUGAAAAGGGUUGUCAAGCACUGCAGCCAGCUGCUCAGGGAGGUAGUAGAGUCAUAAUCAAUGGAGGCAUUUAAAAGACAUAUAAAUGAGGCACUUAGGGACAUGGGUUAGAGCUGAACUUGGUAGUGUUAAGUUUUACAGUUUGACUUAAUGACCUUUAAGGGCUUUUGCAACCACAAUGAUUUUACACUUCUUUUAUCAUAUUUUGAAGCAUAGCUCCAGCAGCUCUGUCAUGUUUUGUUCCUCACAAUAACAGCAGUACAUUGAGAGUCAUUUCAGUUAGAACAGAAAUAAACCAAGAGGAAGAUUAUCUUGAAAUCAUAGUAAGUGCAAGUCUGAGUUCUCCAACAACUUUUAGGACAUGAGGUGAUCAACAGUUCAAAUGGAAUCAUGAGCAAUGUUAAAAUUGUAGACUGACUCGCUGGGUUGCUGUGCCAUGGAACCCAAGCUGGAAACACCACUGAAGAGUCUGCUGGCCUGCCAAAUUUCCAGGAAUAGUUUUGACAGUUACCAUGCCCUUUACCUGUUUUUGCUUUACUCUUGACACCUUUGCCAAACUAUUUGGAGAACAAGUUUUAUGAGGAGCAUCUGAGGAAGCUGGAAUUGUUUAGCCUUGAGAAAAGAAAGCUCAGAGGCAAUCUCUACAACUCUGCUCUCUACAACUACCUGAAGGGAGGAGGGUGUAAUGAGGUGUUGGUCUGUAUUGUAUCCCAGGCAAUAAGUGAAAACGGCCUGGAGUUGCACCUAGGGAGGUUUAGAUUGAAUAUUUCAAAAAAAUUUAUGCAUUGAGAAGAUGGUGGAACAAGCUGACUAGGCAAAUGGGGGAAUCAUUGUCCCUGGAAGCCUUGAAAAAAACAUGUAGAUGCUUUAGCCUUAAUGAUUCUGUGAUUCUGUUUAACUAGAAAAAAUUCCCUCAUUGCACUCUGAGUGUAACCCACCAUGUAGUGUUUUUGGGAAAGAUCACUCAUGAAUUAGCACUCAAUUCCUGGCAUCAUCCACAAUAAGACAGAAAAAUGUUAAUCAGUAAUGCCCCAAACGCUUUUCUUAGAUGUUCAUGUAAUUAUGUGAGCCCUCUAAGCUCUCUAAGUACUUCAGUAAAGUUAAGAUAAUGAAAUACUGGAGGAAAAUAGAUCUUAAUAUCAAGCAUCACUUCAGAGGAAGUAAAAUGCCUUCGGAAAAAAAUCAGAUACUUUCACCUAAGGAGUCUCCUGUUGUUAAGAUAGGACCACAGGAGUUAAUAAAUCUGUAUAAAAUUCCAUAAUGCUAACUACAUAAUUUACUAAGUAUUCCAACAUUAAUGAACUGGAACAAAAUGUCUUUUUAUGGAAUAAUUGUGUCAGUCUACUUAUACAUCACAGGUUUCCUAUAAAUUCCCAUGAAGUUCAAGAAGAAAUAAUAGAAAUUCACACAGAAAAUUAUAACCCUUCUAAAAUAACAAGAGACUCCCUGGGUGCUGAACCUGUACUUUGUAUCACAGCAUUAAAGUUUAUUUGGCAUGUCCAAUUGUUCUCUGCUGUGAGGGCCCCUAUAAAGAACUGUAUCAUUAGGAAUGCUAACGCUGCAAGAAGUUAGCAUCUAUGUUUUCAUUUUCAGUCUCAAGAUCUUGAAGUUUGAGGCUUGGGAUGGGUACAGUAUGUGAGACUUAAAGUAUUUGGCUUUAUGUAAUCUGGUUUUCCUCAUGUAUGGGAUAGUUAGCUUCCUGUACUUCCUGUUAGGUUCUCAAUGUUAAACUAUUUGUUAAACUAUUUCUAAAUGAAUGAUCAGCAAUUUUAUUACUUUCUACUUUUGUGACAAAAAGUAUAAGAUUUUCAGUGAAAACUUAUAAUUUGCAACAAUUGAUAGAAGCUAACCUCUGCAAAUAAAAGGGCUUUUGGGUGAAAAAACAUCAUGAUGCAUAAAAAACAUAUACCUUAGCUCCAUAAGAAAGCAAUGUCUGCAUUACAGAAAACAUACCAUUUUGGUCAAAUUAAUGGGUGUAUACAUAUAAACUGCAGAGCCUAAUUUCUGCCCUGUGCAUAUUUUCCCUUAAUGUUUAGUUCCCUCAGGCAAAGAACUUUAUGGCACCAAGACAGAAUCAGAAUUCACCUCAGUUUUACCUGCACAGUAUCUGUAGCACUUUCCAUGUAUCUUGAGAAGCAUUGGAUUGGUGCUGCAGGGUAGGAAUAGGUCACAACACAUAGACACAUUUUACACAGUAACUUCUUUUUCCUCCAUUUCUGCAUGGGAUAAUAAGGUUCUCAUGUGCUCUCAAUUACCCACAAAGUUGCUCAAAGCAGUACUAGGGUGUCUCAAAGUGUACCUUGUAGUCAUAUGAUGCUGUCCAAAUACCGCAAUGCAACAAAAAAGGGAUUAUUAAAAAUGUCUUAGAUCCAGACAAAAGGUAGUAUAUCAGUAUUUGUACUCUUACACAAAAAUUAGUCCUGCAAGGACCUCUUCAACUCCUGUGAACUGAAGCUAGUGAAAGGGCUAGAAGGCAUGUCCUGUGAGGAGCAGUUCAGGAUUUGGAGUUUGUCUGUUUGGCGAGAAGGAGGCUGAGGGGUGACCUCAUGGCUCUCUGCAGCUUCCUGAAGAGGAAAGAUGGAGAGAGAGGUGCUGAUCUCCUCUCCCUGGUAUCCAGUGAUGGGACACAUAGGAAUGGUUCAAAGCUGACGCAGGGGAGGUUUAGCCCAGGCAUUAGAAAGCAUUUAUUUACCAAGAGGGUGUUAUAACCCAGAAACAGGCUUCCUUGAGAGGAGGCCAGCGUCCCCAGCGCAUCAGUGUUUAAGAGACAUUUGGACAACAAAUGCUAAGGCAUGCUACCCUUAGCAACAUACAGUAGCUUUUGGUCAGCCCUGAAGUGGUCAGGCAGUUGGACUGGAUGAUCACUGUAGGUGUCUUCCAAUUGAAUUAUUCCUAUUGUAUUCUAAUUCAGGGAGCAGAUCUAAGGUUCUGACUUUGCCGUAUAAGUCCAUGUACCACAGGGACUUGGGC